UGGUUUUGGGCUUUUAAUAAAGUGAAAAUUUGUAUAUUGUUGGUUAUUUGGUCGGAUACCUAUAUUCUCACUGUUCACGUAAGUUAUUUUUUAAACCGGUGGCAUAUUCCGCGUCAAAACAAGGAUCAGCUGAUUUUGGUGCGACGCGCCAUAGUUGUUUUCGGUUCUAUGGUUUAAGAACUUGAACCUUGGUUUAAGAACUUAAACCGUGGUCUACGGUUUCCGCCUUCCGCGUCCGUACGAGCCGUUGAACACCGAACAGCCAAUGGAAUAUGUCGUUAUUAUUAACGGUUUCGACUUUGCGUGCUUGCCCCCGGACUGUGUUAUUUGUCGUCCGUAUUCCGUACUCCCUCGUUGUGAUUCUUGUCCGUGUGGAACACACUUGCGUCUUUCACACCGGACAGCGAUUCUCGCUUCUCCGCCGACGAUUGGCCGCCAUUAUGAGUAUAUAGUAUACCGUUGUUGUUACUUUUUACCACGUUAUGUGUGCUUAAGUUUGGUGCUGGAGUCGGUGGUUUGUUUUGUUCUUUAAGUGUGCGCGGUUGAAAUAAAUAUCAUCGUACGCCGCUCGCGACAAUGAUUCUAAAUGCGUUUACGUUGACGCCGAUCUGUCGUGUGUCGCCAUUUUAUCGCGAGCUGCUGCAACUCCAUGUGUUGCCGUGUGUCGAUCACGUGUUUUUUUAUGCGUUACGCGAUCGUCGACGUUGACAUCGUCACCCACCGGCAUUGUGCAUACCUAUUUUGUCGAAUCCGCGUGUGUCGAGUAACGUGCCGUUAUUACUAUCCGUCGUCGUCCGUCGAGGAUAGUAGUGCAUUCACCAUUACACGUGCCCACGCCGCCGACCUGUUCGAGUCGUUGACCGUGUCCAUACCGCUAUCGUGCAAUUUACCAUUGCGCGAAUGUCGAAUUAUGGUAGGUUAAGCUACGGUUUUCCUGCACCGUCACACAGUGGAACAGCACGGCUGCGUCGGACGCGGACCUACGUCCAGACGCUGCAGGGAAAACGUACCUAAACUCGUCGCGGUGUCCGAUGUGCGCGUCUUAUUACCGGUACCCACGUGUCCAAUAUUCAUGCUGCCGACUUGUGUUUGUGACUUGGUGUCACGCGUGUCACGCUGCUCGGCUCAUUCACCUUGCCCUGUUCCUAAGCGUGUCAGAAUUAUCGGGCCAAGACGUUUCCCGUAUGCUCUGAUGUUGAGCCGACAUCCGAUCGCCACCACUCGAGACUCACUGGAUGUUUUCACCGGUCGUCGUAGUUCAUACAUUAAGAAUUGCAUUGAACAAUAAGAUGUUUUCUUAUAUUUUCAAAUUUGAAUGAUCUACGGUUAUUUGACAGAAGAGUUUUGUAUGCCGAGAAUGACUGCUCAAGUGCCAACAUCGAAAGACAUCACGGGUGCGUACUUAAAAAAUGCCAAGUCGUUACUACUUAAAUCUUCAGAAAGCCUAUCUAAAUUUCUGGAUGUUUCUUCAUUCGUUAGAACUUGUGACAUUUUUACCAACACUGAGAGAUCGUGGCGUUGUCUUCAUUACUUACCUGUACCUACACUUAAAGAAAUUAGUUUGAAUUUUACUUUUUUUUUUAUUGAUUUCCCAUGCAACUGGUCGGCAGAGUUAUUUAACUUUAAUGAAGCAUUAAUAUAUUUUUUAAAUAUCACUUUUUAUAAUUUUGGAAGUGCGGGUUUUACCUGGGUUUUCAUUUUUAUGCAUGGCCCACCACGUUUGACAUAUUUUUCUUUUCUAUAAAUUAUAAAAAUAAUAAUUUGUUAAAAUAAUAAGUAGCUUACACAAUUAAUAUUGGGUUCAUCGUACACAUUACUAGCACUAAAGUUCCUAUAUAAGGAGGGAGUGGACAGCGGUUCUUAUCAUGAUUUUAUGGGAGAUGGGUUGUACCA